GAUGAAGAACGUAGCGAAAUGCGAUAAGUAAUGUGAAUUGCAGAAUUCAGUGAAUCAUCGAAUCUUUGAACGCACAUUGCGCCCCUUGGUAUUCCGAGGGGCAUGCCUGUUCGAGCGUCAUUAUAACCCCUCAAGCUCAGCUUGGUGUUGGGGCCUGCUGCACUGGCAGCCCUUAAAAUCAGUGGCGGCGCCAUCUGGCUCUAAGCGUAGUAAUUCUUCUCGCUAUGGAGUCCUGGUGGAUGCUUGCCAUCAACCCCCAAUUUUUCUAUGGUUGACCUCGGAUCAGGUAGGGAUACCCGCUGAACUUAAGCAUAUCAAUAAGCGGAGGU
rnacentral:misc_RNA from 1 species